CCUACGGGUGGCAGCAGUGGGGAAUAUUGGGCAAUGGGCGAAAGCCUGACCCAGCAACGCCGCGUGAAGGAAGAAGGCUCUCGGGUUGUAAACUUCUUUUGACAGGGAAGAGCAGAAGACGGUACCUGUCGAAUAAGCCACGGCUAACUACGUGCCAGCAGCCGCGGUAAUAAGUAGGUGGCCAGCGUUGUCCGGAUUUACUGGGUGUAAAGGGCGUGUAGCCGGGCUGACAAGUCAGAUGGGAAAGCCGGGGGCUCAACCCCCGAACUGCAUUUGAAACUGGUGGUCUUGAGUAUAGGAGAGGAUGGCGGAAGUCCUAGUGUAGCGGUGAAAUGCGUAGAUAUUAGGAGGAACACCGGUGGCGAAGGC
rnacentral:rRNA from 1 species